rnacentral:rRNA from 1 species
GACGAACGCUGGCGGCGUGCCUAAUACAUGCAAGUAGAACGCACAGUUUAUACCGUAGCUUGCUACACCAUAGACUGUGAGUUGCGAACGGGUGAGUAACGCGUAGGUAACCUGCCUGGUAGCGGGGGAUAACUCUUGGAAACGAUAGCUAAUACCUCAUAAUAUUGAUUAUUGCAUGAUAAUUGAUUGAAAUAUGCUAUUUCAUCACUACCAGAUGGACCUGCGGUGUAUUAGCUAGUAGGUGAGGUAACGGCUCACCUAAGCGACGAAUCAUAGCCGACCUGGGAGGGUGGUCGGCCACACUGGGACUGGGACACGGCCCAGACUCCUACGGGAGGCAGCAGUAGGGAAUCUUCGGCAAUGGACGAAAGUCUGACCGGGCAACGCCGCGGGAGUGAAGAAGGUUUUCGGGUCGUAAAGCUCUGUUGUAAGAGAAGAACGGGUGUGAGAGUGGAAAGUUCACACUGUGACGGUAUCUUACCAGAAAGGGACGGCUAACUACGUG